rnacentral:rRNA from 1 species
AGCGUGGGGAGCGAACAGGAUUAGAUACCCUGGUAAGUCCACGCCGUAAACGGUGGGCACUAGUUGUGGGGACCUACCACGGUCUCUGCAACGCAGCUAACGCAUUAAGUGCCCCGCCUGGGGAGUACGAUCGCAAGAUUAAAACUCAAAGGAAUUGACGGGGGCCCCGCACAAGCAGCGGAGCAUGCGGCUUAAUUCGACGCAACGCGAAGAACCUUACCAAGGCUUGACAUAUACAGGAAUAUGGCAGAGAUGUCAUAGCCGCAAGGUCUGUAUACAGGUGGUGCAUGGUUGUCGUCAGCUCGUGUCGUGAGAUGUUGGGUUAAGUCCCGCAACGAGCGCAACCCUCGUUCUGUGUUGCCAGCAUUUAGUUGGGGACUCACAGGAGACUGCCGGGGUUAACUCGGAGGAAGGUGGGGAUGACGUCAAAUCAUCAUGCCCCUUAUGUCUUGGGCUGCACGCAUGCUACAAUGGCUGGUACAAACGGCUGCAAUACCGCAAGGUGGAGCGAAUCCGAGAAAGCCAGUCUCAGUUCGGAUUGGGGUCUGCAACUCGACCCCAUGAAGUCGGAGUUGCUAGUAAUCGUAGAUCAGCAACGCUACGGUGAAUACGUUCCCGGGGCUUGUACACACCGCCCGUCACGUCACGAAAGU